rnacentral:misc_RNA from 1 species
GAAAUGCGAUAAGUAGUGUGAAUUGCAGAAUUCAGUGAAUCAUCGAAUCUUUGAACGCACAUUGCGCCCUUUGGUAUCCCUUAGGGCAUGCCUGUUCGAGCGUCAUCUAAACCUUCAAGCCCUGCUUGGUGUUGGGUGCCUGUCCCGCCUCCGCGCGCGGACUCACCUCAAAUCCAUUGGCGGCCCCCGCGUCGGCCACGAGCGCAGCAGAAACGCGAACUCGUGAGCCCGUCCGGGCGGCUCCCAGAAGCUACACCCACCCAGUUUGACCUCGGAUCAGGUAGGGAUACCCGCUGAACUUAAGC